GAUGAACGCUGGCGGCGUGCCUAAUACAUGCAAGUCGAGCGAACAGACGAGGAGCUUGUUCCUCUGACGUUAGCGGCGGACGGGUGAGUAAAACGUGGAUAACCUACCUAUAAGACUGGGAUAACUUCGGGAAACCGGAGCUAAUACCGGAUAAUAUAUUGAACCGCAUGGUUCAAUAGUGAAAGACGGUUUUGCUGUCACUUAUAGAUGGAUCCGCGCCGCAUUAGCUAGUUGGUAAGGUAACAGCUUACCAAGGCAACGAUGCGUAGCCGACCUGAGAGGGUGAUCGGCCACACUGGAACUGAGACACGGUCCAGACUCCUACGGGAGGCAGCAGUAGGGAAUCUUCCGCAAUGGGCGAAAGCCUGACGGAGCAACGCCGCGUGAGUGAUGAAGGUCUUCGGAUCGUAAAACUCUGUUAUUAGGGAAGAACAAAUGUGUAAGUAACUAUGCACGUCUUGACGGUACCUAAUCAGAAAGCCACGGCUAACUACGUG
rnacentral:rRNA from 1 species